AUUGAACGCUGGCGGCAGGCUUAACACAUGCAAGUCGAGCGAGCGGCGGACGGGUGAGUAAUGUCUGGGAAACUGCCUGAUGGAGGGGGAUAACUACUGGAAACGUUAGCUAAUACCGCAUACCAUCAGAUGUGCCCAGAUGGGAUUAGCUAGUAGGUGGGGGAAUGGCUCACCUAGGCCACGAUCCCUAGCUGGUCUGAGAGGAUGACCAGCCACACUGGAACUGAGACACGGCCCAGACUCCUACGGGAGGCAGCAGUGGGGAAUAUUGCACAAUGGGCGAAAGCCUGAUGCAGCAAUGCAGCGUGUGUGAAGAAGGCCUUCGGGUUGUAAAGUACUUUUGGCAGAGAAGCGGUAUCUGAAGAAUAAGCACCGGCUAACUACGUGCCAGCAGCCGCGGUAAUUC
rnacentral:rRNA from 1 species